rnacentral:rRNA from 1 species
CUUGGCGAUUACAGGCGAUGAAGGACGUAGUAGCUUGCGAUAAGCUGCGGGGAGCUAGCAAACGAGCUUUGAUCCGCAGAUUUCCGAAUGGGGAAACCCGGCCUUUUAGGUCAUUGCAUGCUGAAUACAUAGGCAUGCAAAGCGAACGCGGCGAACUGAAACAUCUAAGUAGCUGCAGGAAAAGAAAUCAACCGAGAUUCCCAAAGUAGUGGCGAGCGAAAUGGGAUGAGCCUGUACG